rnacentral:rRNA from 1 species
GGAUGGCGGCGUGCCUAUACAUGCAGUCGAGCGGAGUUUUGAAAAGCUUGCUUUUCAAAACUUAGCGGCGGACGGGUGAGUAACACGUGGGCAACCUGCCCUUGAGACGGGGAUAACUCCGGGAAACCGGAGCUAAUACCGGAUAACACAUAUCUUCGCAUGAGGAUAUGUUAGAAGGUGGCUUUUAGCUACCACUCAAGGAUGGGCCCGCGGCGCAUUAGCUAGUUGGUGAGGUAACGGCUCACCAAGGCGACGAUGCGUAGCCGACCUGAGAGGGUGAUCGGCCACACUGGGACUGAGACACGGCCCAGACUCCUACGGGAGGCAGCAGUAGGGAAUCUUCCGCAAUGGACGAAAGUCUGACGGAGCAACGCCGCGUGAGUGAUGAAGGUUUUCGGAUCGUAAAGCUCUGUUGUUAGGGAAGAACAAGUACCUGUUGAAUAAGCAGGUACCUUGACGGUACCUAACCAGAAAGCCACGGCUAACUACGUGCCAGCAGCCGCGGUAAUACGUAGGUGGCAAGCGUUGUCCGGAAUUAUUGGGCGUAAAGCGCGCGCAGGCGGUUCCUUAAGUCUGAUGUGAAAGCCCACGGCUCAACCGUGGAGGGUCAUUGGAAACUGGGGGAACUUGAGUGCAGGAAGAGGAGAGCGGAAUUCCACGUGGUAGCUGGUGAAAUGCGUAGAGAUGUGGAGGAACACCAGUGGCGAAGGCGGCUCUCUGGUCUGUAACUGACGCUGAGGCGCGAAAGCGUGGGGAGCGAACAGGAUUAGAUACCCUGGUAGUCCACGCCGUAAACGAUGAGUGCUAAGUGUUAGAGGGUUUCCGCCCUUUAGUGCUGCAGCAAACGCAUUAAGCACUCCGCCUGGGGAGUACGGUCGCAAGACUGAAACUCAAAGGAAUUGACGGGGACCCGCACAAGCGGUGGAGCAUGUGUUUAAUUCGAAGCACGCGAAGAACCUUACCAGGUCUGACAUCUCUGCUACUUCUAGAAGAUAAGAGUUCCCUCGGGAAGAUGACAGUGUGCAUGUGUCGUCAAGCUCUGUUCUGGAAUGUUGGUAAGUCCGCCACGAGCGCACUUGAUCUUAGUGCAGCAUAGUGGCAUCUAAGGUACUGCGGUACAAACCGGAAGAAGUG